GGGGGCGCACUGGUUUCGACGGGGACCUAUGAAGCCGUGACUGCGAGCCGAGGCGCCGCUGGCCUCGUAAAAAGCGGCACAAUAGUAAUUGGCAACGAUUACGAAUACGCUUACGCGGCUUAAUUAAGCCACGCCGUUAUUCCUGCAGACGUCCGAUAAGCGGGCAUAACGGACAAACCUAAUCGGACUGGCGCCGGAUGAUGUCUUCCGCUGACGGUGUAAGAACUAAGGAUGGCUGGCGGCAGGAUGCCCUGACCAGGGGCGGCCCCUGCCGUGAGAAUUUAUACUUGGUCUACGCUCGUAGACGUUACGCGUGGAAUGUUUUCGGACGCGGGUUCGAUUCCCGCCGCCUCCACCA
rnacentral:tmRNA from 1 species